AGAGAGAGAGAAAGAGAAAAACAACAAGAGACAGAGAAAAAUGGAGACAAUGCAUCAUUAUAAUACCAUAUUAUUUUGAAUGAAAUUAUUUGUGUGUUGCCUCUUCAACUAUUGUCU
rnacentral:ribozyme from 1 species